UACGGAGGGGGCCAGCGUUGCUCGGAAUUACUGGGCGUAAAGGGCUCGUAGGCGGUUUGAUAAGUCCUGUGUGAAAUCCCUUGGCUUAACCAAGGAACUGCGCCGGAUACUGUCGAACUUGAGGCCGGGAGAGGGAAGCGGAAUUCCCAGUGUAGCGGUGAAAUGCGUAGAUAUUGGGAGGAACAUCGGUGGCGAAGGCGGCUUCCUGGACCGGUACUGACGCUGAU
rnacentral:rRNA from 1 species